UUUGCAGAUAUUCUGAAGGAUAUCGUGGAGAAGAUGUCAAGCGGAGUACUCAGGCCUCAGCCCGAGGAAGCAGUCCCCCUCUAUGAAGCCACAGUUGCCAUGGAGACUGUCCAGCGUCACCCAAAGACGAAGGCUGUUGUUCAGCUCUGACCUAACUAAUCACAUUAUGCAGAGAUAAAAGAAAACAGCUCAGCUGGAUCACUUCUCUCUGCAGUGACACUGUUCCAAUCAGUCACUGUUUACUUGUUAACACAGAACUAUGAUCUGUUUCAGGCCCAAUAAUAUGAUAACAGGAAAAAAGGCGCUCAAUCAUUACCUGCUUGAGUUUCAGAGUCACCUGGACAGUUUUACUUCACACUGCAGAAGAAACUCUUUUCCCAGAGCCAGUGAUAUCCAUUAAAAUCUGAUCACUCUUCAUCACCUAAUGUUUGUUUAGAAAUGCACAAGGUGUCAUCUGACUCAAUAAAAUCAUAUUUCAUUAAAAAACAA